rnacentral:rRNA from 1 species
CCUACGGGUGGCAGCAGUGGGGAAUAUUGCUCAAUGGGCGAAACCCUGAUGCAGCGACGCCGCGUGAGUGAAGACGUAACUCCGUAUGUUAAACUCCAUUAGUAGGGAAGAAAAUGCCGGUACCUGUCGAAGAAGCCCCGUCUAACUAGGUGCCGGCAGCCGCGGUAACACGGAGGGGGCAGCCGUUAUCCGGAUUUACUGGGCGUAAAGGGGGUGUAGGCGGCACUGGAAGUGCGGAGUGAAAGUCCAGGGCUUAACCUGGGUACUGCUGUGGAAACUGUGGAGCUUGAGUGCGGGAGGGGCAGGCGGAAUUCGUAGUGUAGCGGUGAAAUGCGUAGAUAUUAGGAAGAACACCGACGGCGAAGGCAGCCUGCUGGACCGUAACUGACGUUGAGGCUCGAAAGCGUGGGGAGCGAACAGGAUUAGAUACCCCUGUAGUC